AAUGAACGCUGGCGGCGUGCCUAAUACAUGCAAGUCGAGCGAAUGGAUUAAGAGCUUGCUCUUAUGAAGUUAGCGGCGGACGGGUGAGUAACACGUGGGUAACCUGCCCAUAAGACUGGGAUAAAUCCGGGAAACCGGGGCUAAUACCGGAUAACAUUUUGAACCGCAUGGUUCGAAAUUGAAAGGCGGCUUCGGCUGUCACUUAUGGAUGGACCCGCGUCGCAUUAGCUAGUUGGUGAGGUAACGGCUCACCAAGGCAACGAUGCGUAGCCGACCUGAGAGGGUGAUCGGCCACACUGGGACUGAGACACGGCCCAGACUCCUACGGGAGGCAGCAGUAGGGAAUCUUCCGCAAUGGACGAAAGUCUGACGGAGCAACGCCGCGUGAGUGAUGAAGGCUUUCGGGUCGUAAAACUCUGUUGUUAGGGAAGAACAAGUGCUAGUUGAAUAAGCUGGCACCUUGACGGUACCUAACCAGAAAGCCACGGCUAACUACGUGCCAGCCGCCGCCGUAA
rnacentral:rRNA from 1 species